rnacentral:misc_RNA from 1 species
GAUGAAGAACGUAGUGAAAUGCGAUACGUAAUGUGAAUUGCAGAUUUCAGUGAAUCAUCGAAUCUUUGAACGCACAUUGCGCCCGCUAGUAUUCUGGCGGGCAUGCCUGUUCGAGCGUCAUUUCAACCAUCAAGCCCUAGGCUUGCGUUGGAGCCCUGCGGCUGCCGCAGGCUCCCAAAUCCAGUGGCGGGCUCGUCGUCGUACCGAGUGCAGUAAACAUCCUCGCUCAGGGAACGUGACGGGUUCUUGCCGUGAAACCCCCCACAUAUCAAGGUUGACCUCGGAUCAGGUAGGAAUACCCGCUGAACUUAAGUAUAUCAAUAAGCGGAGGA